UUUUUGUACGGCGGCUCAAUGAGUUUGUAUCACUGUGGUACACGUUCGGUGGAGGAACCAGACUGGAUGUUGGAUGUGAUGUCCGUCCCACCCUGACGGUGCUGCCCCCCUCCAGUGAGGAGCUGCAGCAGGGGAAGGCCACGCUCAUGUGUCUGGCCAACAAGGGCUUCCCCUCAGACUGGAGUCUGUCCUGGAAGGUGGACGGCAGCAGCAGCAGCAGCAGCUGGGAGGAGAGCAGGAGCCCCGGGGUGCUGAAGGACGGCCACUACAGCUGGAGCAGCACCCUGAGGCUCUCUGCAGACCACUGGAGGAAGGUGGGCUCUGUGACCUGUGAGGCCACCCAGGGCUCCCAGACUCCGCUCUCAGAGACACUGAGGAGAGACCAGUGUUCCUAGU